UACAGAGGGGGCGAGCGUUGUUCGGAAUUACUGGGCGUAAAGGGCGCGUAGGCGGCCCGCUAAGUCGAACGUGAAAUCCCCAGGCUCAACCUGGGAACUGCGUCCGAUACUGGCAGGCUUGAAUCCGGGAGAGGAUGGUGGAAUUCCCAGUGUAGAGGUGAAAUUCGUAGAUAUUGGGAAGAACACCGGUGGCGAAGGCGGCCAUCUGGACCGCAACUGACGCUGAGGCGCGAAAGCGUGGGGAGCAAACAGG
rnacentral:rRNA from 1 species